UCCUGGUUAACCCAGGCAGUCUCACUAGAGUUCCCACCAUUACGUGUUGGCAACUAGUGACAAGGGUUGCGCUCGUUGCGGGACUUAACCCAACACCUCACGGCACGAGCUGACGACAGCCAUGCAGCACCUGUGCACCGGCCCCGAAGGGAAGCCCUAUUUCUAGAGCGGUCCAAUGCAUGUCAAGCCCAGGUAAGGUUCUUCGCGUUGCAUCGAAUUAAACCACAUGCUCCACUGCUUGUGCGGGUCCCCGUCAAUUCUUUUGAGUUUCACCCUUGCGAGCGUACUCCCCAGGCGGUAUACUUAACACGUUAGCUACGGCACAGCCAGGGUUGAUUCCGGCUACACCAAGUAUACAUCGUUUACAGCUAGGACUAC
rnacentral:misc_RNA from 1 species